UGGAUACUGUCAAAUGUAACAAGGAUCCUUUCAGCUCCUUCUGGAGAUGAUUCAGAGAGAAACCAACCAAUGUGAAAGUGAGAGACAGACGGAGACAGCAAGGAAGGAAAGUGAAAGGUUUCCAGGAUCAGACGAGUUCAGGUGGAUUCAUAAAGAGAGAUCAGCAAUAAAAGGAAUGAAGUGUUUCCUCAGCUGGAGGCAGAACCAGCAGCUGGACUGUUUCCCCACAGCUGGACUCACAGGUGAGACACCUGCAGCUUUACUGACACCCAGUGGACGCAGCAGGAAACUGCAGCAGCUCAGACAGUAAUUCAAGUGUUUAUUCAGGGCUGCUGUGGCUCAUUAAAAACUCUGAAAUUCAAAUAAAUGAAGGUCUUCAAAUGUCUCAUAUUUCCACAGAAUCAUUAAAUGGAAGAUUUUUCAGACUGGAAGGAAAAAUGAAGCCAAGAAGAAUUUUUUCAGUCAGUUUUUAAAGUUUCACUCGCUCAGCGUCUCUCCUCUUAUCACCGCUGAUCAGACACAUUUAUUUAUUUGAAGAUGCAGUUAGCGGCUGACACGCUGAUGAUGCUCAGUAGAUCUGAUCUUUGUAUCUGGAUUUAUUUGACAGGGACAGUGUUCAUGUUCAUGGACAUCAGGAUAAAAACAGAAGAUGGAAACCUGCCAGAUUUGAGCUAAACUGCUCAUUUCCAUGUGUAGUCCCUGGGCAGGUCACAUGACUCUAUCCAACAUACAAAGACACACAGACACACAAGAAAAGCCAGAGAAACAAAGACAAAUCCAAACAAUCCAUCAUACUGAGUUACAGUUUUUUACAGACGCUAGGACACAUUUCUCAAUACGUAGGUCACUUUUGCAAAACUCCUCACACAGUGAGCACAACAGAAGUCUAUGUGGGCUAAACUGAGGAUCAGUUAUCAUUGUUUUGGCACAAAAUGCAUUCAAUGACUACAUCUCUCAAAUUUCAUGAAUUAUUUUCUCACUCAGACACAACAACUGCCAAAAAUCUUUGUACGUACAGGACAUUUUGCAUGUACUUACAUACUGUUUGCAAAACUGUUAAACUUACGGUCAAAACAAUAACAUAAUGCAAAACUGAAUAAGACAGCAAAAUUCAACAGCAAUAUUUUAUUGAAACAUAUUUUAAAUCUAAAAAUGCAGUUUAACCAGCCACAGCUGAUUCUCAUUGUAGAUGAACAUCUACACAGGUGUUACUCCUUCAAUUUCAUUACAAAAGGAGACAACUGCUGAAUAGGUUUGUUUUGUGAUGUAAACAUGGACCCAGCCAGAAAUGGAGAAGUGGCUGAAAGAGGAAGAAGAGUGGCUGGGAGGGGGCGAGGAAUACGUAUGCGUGGUGGAAGAAGAAUAAGAGGAAGAUCAAGAGCUGUAGUCUCAGAUGAGAUCAGAGCUACUGUAAUUGAUCAUGUAGUAAAUCAUGGUCACUCAAUGAGAGGCUGGUCAGAGAGUGCAGCCAAAUCUGCAACGCUCUACAGUGGCAUCUAUUGUUGGAGUUUUCCGGCAAACCAACAGGACUCAACGGUUACCUCACACAGGAGGGAGAGGACGGAUGUUCACUGAUGUGCAGGAAACUGCCAUUGUUGAUAUGGUCAUCAGAAACAAUGGGAUAAAACUCACUGAAAUUAGACACAGAGUCUUGGCAGACAACGUUACUUUCGCAAAUAUUCACAGUGUAAGCAUAACAACAAUUUCUAGAGUCCUGAAAAAACAUCAGGUCAGGAUGAAACAGUUGUACACUGUGCCUUUUGAGAGGAACUCUGAACAUGUCAAGCAACUCAGGAACCAGUAUGUCCAGGUUUCAACUUGGCCAAAGCACGGCGACGAGGGAGGAAUGUGAUUGGGAAGAGAGCCACAGUGAAUGUCCCGGGCCAGAGGGGUGCCAACAUCACAAUGUGCGCAGCAAUAUCCACUGAUGGACUGCUGUUACACAGACCACUGAUUGGACCAUACAACACUGAACGGCUCCUUGCGUUCCUGCAUGAUCUCUAUGGAA